rnacentral:rRNA from 1 species
UACGUAGGUGGCAAGCGUUGUCCGGAAUUAUUGGGCGUAAAGCGCACGUAGGCGGUUCGUUAAGUCGGAUGUGAAAGCCCUCGGCUCAACUGAGGAAGUGCACCCGAAACUGGCGAGCUUGAGUACGAAAGAGGAUCGCGGAAUUCCCGGUGUAGAGGUGAAAUUCGUAGAUAUCGGGAGGAACACCGGUGGCGAAGGCGGCGAUCUGGGUCGAUACUGACGCUGAGGUGCGAAAGCGUGGGGAGCAAACAGG